AACAAUACAGCUCCAGAACAGAGAAAGUUCAUGCCAAAGUUAUUAUUCGGUUCCACACUAAAACUGAGGUUUGACACGUGUGAUUUGAGGCUAGAGCUUGAGGACUCAACUCUGAAGACUGUUUCUGAAUUCACUGACCUGAAAUAAAACUUGUAGACCUUUCCUGCAGUCUCUGAGGAGAUGGACAGCUCUUCUUCUUCUGGACGAUCUCCGUCUCCUACUGGGACUGUCUUCUUACCCCCUCCUAUCAUAUGGAACAGUCUCUACAAGCAGGCAGAGAUGGAGGUUCACUUCCCGAGAGAAGAGAAGAAGACCUAUACAGAGAAGGAAGCCCACAUGCUUGAGUUGAUGGGGAAGGAUCGAACGAUCCGAAAUCAGAAGAAGGAGAUGGACAGACUUCAAGUGUGCCUCUGGGAGGAGGAAAAGAAGAAGAGGAAUGGUGGAACGGAGAAGGACAAGAUCAUUGAACAAUUACAGUCUGAGACAGACCAUCUCCGAGCCCUUUUAAAAGAUGAAAGGAGGAGAAGAAGAGUAGAAAGGGGUAUAAUGAAAGAGUGGAAGGCUGAGAUCCUGAGACUGAGGGAGGCAGAGAGCCAGAGGGAGGCAGAGAGCCAGAGGGAGGCAGAGAGCCAGAGGGAGGCAGAGAGCCAGAGAGAGGCAGAGAGCCAGAGAGAGGCAGAGAGCCAGAGAGAGGCAGAGAGACAGAGAGAAGCAGAGAGACAGAGAGAAAUAGAGAGACAGAGAGAAGCAGAGAGACAGAGGGAGGCAGAGAGAGAGAGGGAAGCAGAGAGACAGAGGGAGGCAGAGAGACAGAGGGAGGCAGAGAGACAGAGAGAAGCAGAGAGAGCCACAGAAGCAAUGGAGUACCAGAGAAAACUGCAGGAGAUCCACAGACUCAAACAACUGCUGGAUCUACUGAUGGUGGACCUACAACUGGCCCACGUAAGACAUGUCAUUGUUAUUAUUAAAAGGCAGUGUAUAUUUACCCAGCUGAAAAUGAAUAGUGGCUGACAGCGGUACGCUAACCUAAUGUUAACUUUUAUUCCUUUCCUUAACCCUUACCUUAACCUCACUGAAACUAUACCUAACCUUUACCUUAACCCAACCCUAGGUCCUGAACCUAACCUUCAUUUAUCUCAACCCCUAUGCCUUUCUUCUGCCGGUUGAAUAUCCACUUCCUUAUUAACGUCAUUACUGUUGUUGUUGUUGAUAACUGUAUCUGUGCAGGUUGUAAAUAGUUGCAUUAGUGAAGCAUCAUUUGUAGGAGUCAUUUCUACAAGCAUAAACAUCAGAGGCCACAUUGUUGUAACAUCACACAAAUUGUAACAGGAAUUUCUCAAACCCCUAACUGAAUGGGCAAGAAGGUUGUGUGUUUGUAUUUGUACACAUUUUGGACAUAAUUGAUUCCAUAAAAUGUCUCAUAAUUUUUUCAAACCAUGUCAAUACAUUAAUUGACAAUGAAUUGUCCAGAUGAAUUGAUCAACAUGACCCUGCUAUUGAUGUUGUCCAGUGUUUGAUUCAAUUACCUAGCUCUAGGUUGUAUUUCUGUGUAUCAUUCUCUGCAAAUCCUUUGAAAGUAUGUCUUGGUAAUAGAUUAUCACUAAUUUUACCUUUUAAAAUGAAGCAAGAGAUUGAGAGAUUGAGGCUAUGGCAGAAAGUCAUGGAGGAUCAGCGACCAAGACUGGCCUGGAACCACAAACCUAUUGAAACAGGAAGAGAGAGGGAAAAAGAGAGAGAAAGGGAGAUGGAAAGUGAGAGAAAAGCAGAAUUGGAAAGACAAGAAAUGAAGAAGAAAGUGGAACAGGCAGAAGAAACGAUAAAAGCGUUAGAACGAGAGAUUGAGAGAUUGAAAGAGAUUGAGAAGGAAAUCAUAUUGGAAAGAGAAAGAGACAUGCGUAUUGCAGAGAAUGAGAAAGUCAAACUGGUUAACGAAAAGGUAAAAGAGUUAGAGAGAGAGGUUGAGAGACUGAAAGAAGAUAUGACAACAAAAGAGAUUCAAUACAAAAUCAAAUUUGAAAGAACGAAAGAAGUGUUUAGAAGACAGAAUGAGAGAGUGAAACAGGUUAACCAAAAUGUACUAGUGUUAGACAGAGAGGUUGUUAGAAUGAAAGAAGAGAUUAGAUUGAAAGACGAGACUGAACCAGAGAGAACAUUUGA